rnacentral:lncRNA from 1 species
GUGUCCAGACUGUCUGGUCCAAUGACAGUGAGCCAUUGUCCUGUUGCGUGACAACCAUGAAUCUUUACUGUGUGUGUGUGUGUCUGUGUGUGUGUGUGUGUGUGUGUGUGUGUGUGUGUGUGUGUGUGUGUGUGUGUCAAUGGACCUCCAUCACUGAAGCCUGUUGUUGAGUUUGUAUGGCAGUGUGAAUAUGUUUAUGCAUGGCUGUUUGUUCUGUAUUGCCAUUGGCAAUCUAGUCAAGAUUUGUGUUUUAUCUCAAAUGAAGGGUUUCCGAAGACAAACCUAGAAAGCAAAAUUAUUAUUGCCCAAAUCCAGCCUCCAUUUACAAUCCUCCAGCGUGUUUAUGUGGCCUUGUAAACACUUGGAAUUACGGUCCAGAAGUGGGCCAGGUUUGAUUGCCAUAACUUAGCCAGAUCAUUGCCAUGAAAAGCUAGACCUAGCCUAUCAAGUUGGAUACGGCCCACUUCUGGUGUAAUUCAAAGUAGUAACUGGGCCACAUCUACAGUAUAUGCCAGCCCAAGUUUGGCCCUUAUUGUGGAAAGGAUCUGGCUUAGGUAUGGCAACUGAAUCUGGCUCACAGCUGGCUUUAUUGUAUAGAAUUACAGACAUGUAGCAUGGGAAGUAUGGAUAGGCAGACUAACACCACUGUUGAGAAGUGUAUAAUACACUGUUUUCUUCCAGAUCCCCCCAAGAACACCUCAGUGUCAGUCAGUCCCUCUAGCUCAGUAGCAGAGGGCAGCUCUGUGGCUCUGACCUGCAGCAGCAAUGCCAACCCAGCAGUGAAUAACUACACCUGGUACAGAGUUGAGGGAUGGGAGAAGGACAUUGUAGGGUCUGAAGAGAACCUCAACAUCUUCAAUGUAACCAGGCUUUCAAAUGAACAGUACUACUGUGAGGCUCAGAAUGUCCAUGGACUGCAGAACUCUGAGGCCAUCAAUAUCGAUGUGACAUUUGCUUCAGAGAUCCAGAACACCUCUCGCUGCAUCAGGAUUUCAGCUACAUCUCAGAUCAGAUGUUUCUGUGAUAGCUUUGGAAACCCUGCUCCCACAGUGGUGUGGCAAUUGGCUGGAGAGUCUGUCAAUCACUCCACUAACACCAUCAUCAGGGAGGAGCCAAUGGGCCGAGCCGGGCUGAGGAGCUCCCUCACCAUCCGCCAAUCACAGGAAGAGGAAAUACCGAGUCUGGUCUGCCUCAGCUCCAACAUGGAUGGUUUUGACAGCUUCUCAUUUAACUUAACAUCAAUGGAAACAUAUGAAGGUACAGAUGGGAGACGUUUGUCCUGCUCUACAACAGAAUUAGUUCCUAACAGUCCCCCCGGUCCCACUAACCAUACAAGAGCUUGGAACUAUAAGGGUCUAUCUUUAUUUUUGUCAAAAUUGAGUUAUUGACAUAGCGUUGUUCUGUUAAAUGUUCUCUAUGUAUAUAGUAAAAAUACCCCUAUUCAUGUUGUUCAGUUCAAAAGAAUACAAGAUAAAAAAUGUCUGACACCAUUCAAACCAAUGAGGAUUCGGAACUUUAAAGCCAAUUAUCUCAGAAACAUCUUUAUGCAGAUAGAACCUCAUAGUCCCAAGCUCUCACAUCGCCAAAUAAGAAGGAUAUUUAAUACAAAGAAGGAAUGGC